UUUUUAUUCAGAGCAACCUCCGAAGCAGAAUGCGGCGCUAAUGUGCAUACUACACUGAUUCCUUACCACUGUUUGGAAAAAAACAGAAGAAGAACAGUUUACAAUCGGUCGUAGAAGGCGGGAAGCAAAAGAAGGCGUAGAAAGUUACUACCCACGCGGCAACAGUCAGCAUCACUGGACUUAAUUUUCAAGAAGUUAAGACAGAGUUAAGGAAGAUAACUGGAGAUGUGAUAAAGAUGGCAGGUUUCUGGUUCCAAAAUGAUCUGGAAGUGACGAGUCUGAUGAGCCAGAGCUUGAUGGUGUUGCAGUGGGCCUCCUUACUGUCAUUAGUGACCAUGACACAAGUCCAGUUCACUACCACCCUGUGAGAAUCUCUGUUGUUGUUGAAAGUGAUGCCGUGGUUAGCCUCCCCAGACUUGGCGAUGCCUUCCUGGUAAUCUUUGGACUGAUCUAUGCACUACACCUCAGCUAUCCCAAAGCACUGACAAACACUUGAAUUCACUCAAAAGAUUUUACUUGGUCUAGAUAGUGGUAAACUGUCACCCAGGUUGCAGACCCUCAAGAAUGACUUGGAUGUAGAAACUCAUCUGAAAGAAGGCUAAAGCAUUAUAAAAGGCUAGUUGAACAUUAUGUCCUUUUGUCUAAAUAAUGCCUCAAAAAGAUACUGCACUACUU
ensembl:lncRNA